rnacentral:rRNA from 1 species
GAUGAACGCUAGCGGCAGGCCUAACACAUGCAAGUCGAGGGAUAAGCCUGCGGGCUGUAACCGGCGCACGGGUGCGUCACGCGAAUACAAUCUGCCUUUCACAUUGGCAUAGCGCGGGGAAAUUUGGAUUAAUACCUAAUGUUAUAUAAGAGUGGCAUCAUUUUUAUAUUAAAGCUUCGGUGGUGAAAGAUGAGUAUGCGUUCUAUUAGCUAGUUGGAGAGGUAACGGCGCCCCAAGGCGAGGAUAGAUAGGGGCACUGGGAGGGAUGUCCCCCACACGGGUACUGGGAUACGCACCCUACUCCUACGGGAGGCAGCAGUGUGGUAUAGUGGGCAGUGGUCGGGAGUCUGAUCCAGCCAUGCCGAGUGCAGGACGGCGGUGCUGCGGGUGGUAAGCUGCUUUUGUAAGGGAAGAGUAAGGUGUACGUGUACUUUGAUGACGGUACCUUACGAAUAAGCAUCGGCUAACUCCGUG